rnacentral:ncRNA from 15 species
GUCAAUAUCGGACGCGCGGAUGCCUCGCCUGAAAUGGGCACUUAGGGUGAGGCGGAGCGAGUAGUGCAACCGACCGACCCCAGU